GACGAACGCUGGCGGCGUGCUUAACACAUGCAAGUCGAACGGAAAGGCCCUGCUUUUGUGGGGUGCUCGAGUGGCGAACGGGUGAGUAACACGUGAGUAACCUGCCCUUGACUUUGGGAUAACUUCAGGAAACUGGGGCUAAUACCGGAUAGGAGCUCCUGCUGCAUGGUGGGGGUUGGAAAGUUUCGGCGGUUGGGGAUGGACUCGCGGCUUAUCAGCUUGUUGGUGGGGUAGUGGCUUACCAAGGCUUUGACGGGUAGCCGGCCUGAGAGGGUGACCGGCCACAUUGGGACUGAGAUACGGCCCAGACUCCUACGGGAGGCAUCAGUGGGGAAUAUUGCACAAUGGGCGGAAGCCUGAUGCAGCAACGCCGCGUGCGGGAUGACGGCCUUCGGGUUGUAAACCGCGUUCGCCUGUGACGAAGCGUGAGUGACGGUAAUGGGUAAAGAAGCACCGGCUAACUACGUG
rnacentral:rRNA from 1 species